rnacentral:rRNA from 1 species
GUGGGGAAUAUUGGACAAUGGGCGAAAGCCUGAUCCAGCCAUGCCGCGUGUGUGUAGAAGGUCUUCGGAUUGUAAAGCACUUUAAGUUGGGAGGAAGGGCAGUAAGUUAAUACCUUGCUGUUUUGACGUUACCGACAGAAUAAGCACCGGCUAACUUCGUGCCAGCAGCCGCGGUAAUACGAAGGGUGCAAGCGUUAAUCGGAAUUACUGGGCGUAAAGCGCGCGUAGGUGGUUUUGUAAGUUGGAGGUGAAAUCCCCGGGCUCAACCUGGGAACUGCCUCCAAAACUGCAUGACUAGAGUACGGUAGAGGGUAGUGGAAUUUCCUGUGUAGCGGUGAAAUGCGUAGAUAUAGGAAGGAACACCAGUGGCGAAGGCGACUACCUGGACUGAUACUGACACUGAGGUGCGAAAGCGUGGGGAGCAAACAGGAUUAGAAACCCGGGUAGUCC